GCACCCGAUCCCAUUCCGAACUCGGCCGUGAAACGCUCCAGCGCCAAUGGUACUUCAUCUUAAGAUGCGGGAGAGUAGGUCGCUGCCAGGU
rnacentral:rRNA from 1 species